AUUGAACGCUGGCGGCAGGCCUAACACAUGCAAGUCGAACGAGUGGCGGACGGGUGAGUAAUGUCUGGGAAACUGCCCGAUGGGGGGGGAUAACUACUGGAAACGGUAGAUAAUACCGCAUACCAUCGGAUGUGCCCAGACGGGAUUAGCUAGAAGGUGGGGUAACGGCUCACCUAGGCGACGAUCCCUAGCUGGUCUGAGAGGAUGCCCAGCCACACUGGAUGUGAGACACGGUCCAGACUCCUACGAGAGGCAGCAGUGGGGAAUAUUGCACAAUGGGCGCAAGCCUGAUGCAGCCAUGCCGCGUGUAUGAAGAAGGCCUUCGGGUUGUAAAGUACUUUCAGCGAGGAGGCGUUACUCGCAGAAGAAGCACCGGCUAACUCCGUGCCAGCAGCCGCGGUAAUAC
rnacentral:rRNA from 1 species